rnacentral:rRNA from 1 species
UACGUAGGGCGCAAGCGUUAUCCGGAAUUAUUGGGCGUAAAGAGCUCGUAGGCGGUUUGUCGCGUCGGCCGUGAAAACUUGGGGCUUAACUCCAAGCUUGCGGUCGAUACGGGCAGACUUGAGUUCGGCAGGGGAGACUGGAAUUCCUGGUGUAGCGGUGAAAUGUGUAGAGAUCGGGAGGAACACCGGUGGCGAAGGCGGGUCUCUGGGCAUCUCCUGACGCUGAGGCGCGAAAGCGUGGGGAGCAAACGGG